rnacentral:rRNA from 1 species
AAAACGACUCUCGGCAACGGAUAUCUCGGCUCUCGCAUCGAUGAAAAACGUAGCGAAAUGCGAUACUUGGUGUGAAUUGCAAAAUCCCGUGAACCAUCGAGUCUUUGAACGCAAGUUGCGCCCCAAGCCUUCUGGCCGAGGGCACGUCUGCCUGGGUGUCACAA